rnacentral:lncRNA from 1 species
AUUUGUUUAACAAAGCACAUCUUGCACAACCCUUAAUCCAUUUAACCCUGAGUUUGACACAGCACCUGUUUCAGAGAGCACGGGGUUGGGGGUAAGGUCAUAGAUUAACAGAAUCUCAAGGCAGAAGAAUUUUUCUUAGUACAGAACAAAAUGGAGUCUCCUAUGUCUACUUCUUUCUACACAGACACAGUAACAAUCUGAUCUCUCUUGCUUUUCCCCACAACCUCAGCCUCUCAGAGUGCUGAGGCAGCAAAAUCACUUGAACCCAGGAGGCGGAAGUUGUGGUGAGCCAAGAUCAUGCCAUUGUACUCCAGCCUGGGCAACAAGUCUCCAAAAAAAAAAAAUUAACCCUUUCCCUGACAAACCUACUCCCUUCCUCUUAUCUGUCAACUCUUGACAAAUGAUACCACGAUUCACCAAGUCCUCAUUGUCAAUUUUUCCUUACCUCCUAUAUUACCUAUUUCUAUAUUAACAAAUUACUCCCCUAAACAGUUUAAAACAACACACAUUUAUGAUCUAACAGUUUCUAUGGGUUAGGAAUUCAAGAGUGGUUUAGAUGAGUGGAAAUUGGAAGAGCAAGGAACACGUUCUGCCUUAGAUCCUUGAUCCAGAGAGCACAAAGAUACCUUGAUUUCAGCCUAGUGAUACUGAUUUUGAACUUACUGCCUCCAGAACUGUGAGAAAAUAUGUAUCUGUGUUGUUACCAAGUCCAUAGUAAUUUGUUACAGCAACUACAGGAAACUAAUAUAGCAGGGAAAUAUGUACAAAUGGGUGACGAAACUGUGAAGGGAAGCAACACACUGUUCUCACAGGGACAGAGGCUGAAAAGGGCACCAAGUUUGGUUCAGUAUUGCUCCAUAAAUGAAUAAAAAGAGAAUAGAGUGUAGCUGAACCUUUUGCCUAUGAUAAAAGCAAAAGCAUGGAUAAAGUCAGCAAUAAUUUACGGAUGGUGUCAGAAGCUCUACUUUAUGACACUGUAUAAUAUAAAUUCAUUUAGAGGUCUCUCUCUGCAAAAUUUCUCCCUAUUCUAAGAGCAUUUUGAGCACAAUUUGUUUGUUAUGGGAGUGUGUUACAAGGAACCCUGACAAGAAGGCCCUCCAGUAAAGAGUGAAAUACAGCCAAAAUCCCUAAGGUCCAGUUUCCUGCAUUUCUUCCACAGAACCAGUCAGGCCAAACGUAAUUUUAAAGAACAAUAAAACAAAAUCUUUCUAAAAUAUUGGGAAGGGACUAUAAAUUCUGAGGUUCUGUGGAACAAAAAAGGACUGCAUUCCUUCAGGUGGAUCUUGGUUCCACCGGCUACCUAAACUCAGCUGUGCCUUGGAUCUUGUAGAAGCCAGGACUAUUUCUGAAAGAUGUUUUGUUUUGGUUUUUUGUUGUUGUUGUUUGUUUGUUUUCACACGGAGUCUCGCUCUGUCGCCCAGGCUGGAGUGCAGUGGUGCGAUCUUGGCUCUCUGCAACCUCCGCUUCCCGGGUUCAAGCGAUUUUCCUGCCUCAGCCUCCCGAGUAGGUGGGACUACAGGCGCGCACCACCACACCAGGCUAAUUUUUUUUUUUUUUUGUAGAGGCGGG